rnacentral:rRNA from 1 species
UACGGGGGUGCAAGCGUUGUUCGGAAUCAUUGGGCGUAAAGAGCGUGUAGGCGGCUGAGCAAGUCAGAUGUGAAAUCCCUGGGCUUAACCCAGGAAGUGCAUUUGAAACUGUUCAGCUUGAGUAAGGAAGAGGGAAGUGGAAUUCCAUGUGUAGCGGCGAAAUGCGUAGAGAUAUGGAGGAACACCAGUGGCGAAGGCGGCUUCCUGGUCUGUAACUGACACUGAGGCGCGAAAGCGUGGGGAGCAAACAGGAUUAGA